rnacentral:tRNA from 1 species
GCCGUGGUGGCUCAGCCCGGUGGAGCGCCCGGCUGUUAACCGGGUGGUCGCAGGUUCAAAUCCUGCCCACGGCG